rnacentral:rRNA from 1 species
CCUACGGGACGCAGCAGUGGGGAAUAUUGCACAAUUUUUUUAACCCUUAUUCCUCUACUCCUCUUUCUUUCCUCAUUCUUUCUUUAUUUAAAUCUCUUUCAUCAUUUAAUAAUAAAGACGGUACCUGACCAAGAAGCCCCGGCUAACUACGUGCCAGCAGCCGCGGUAAUACGUAGGGGGCAAGCGUUAUCCGGAUUUACUGGGUGUAAAGGGAGCGUAGACGGCAGGGCAAGUCUGGAUGUAAAGUCAUGGGCCCAACCCCUGGACUGCUCUGGAAACUGUCCGGCUGGAGUGCAGGAGAGGUA